UGGCUCAGACAGUAAAGCGUCUGCCUACAAUGCAGGAGGACCCGGGUUCGAUCCCUGG
rnacentral:tRNA from 1 species